CAAUAGCGUAUAUUAAAGUUGUUGCGGUUAAAAAGCUCGUAGUUGGAUUUCUGCUGAGGAUGACCGGUCCGCCCUCUGGGCAGGUAUCUGGCUCAGCCUUGGCAUCUUCCUGAAGAACGCAGCUGCACUUGACUGUGUGGUGCGGUAUUUAGGACAUUUACUUUGAGGAAAUUAGAGUGUUUCAAGCAAGCGCACGCCUUGAAUACAUUAGCAUGGAAUAAUAAGAUAGGACCUCGGUUCUAUUUUGUUGGUUUCUAGAACUGAGGUAAUGAUUGAUAGGGAUAGUUGGGGGCAUUCGUAUUUAACUGUCAGUGGUGAAAUUCUUGGAUUUGUUAAAGACGGACUACUGCGAAAGCAUUUGCCAAGGAUGUUUUCAUUGA
rnacentral:rRNA from 1 species